CUUAGGGCGCUACCAUUUGAUUUUUAUGGGGGGCUAGGAUGAAAUUUGAAAAAAAUAGGCAGGACAGGAGUUUUGAGUAAAAAAAAAAAGGCAGGAUGAGACAAUUGCCAAAAAAAAAAGUCAGGACGUCAAUUCAGGUAAAAAAAAAGUCAGGAUAAACUAAAAACAAUAUAACAAUCAAAUGGUAGCUCCCUUAUUUUAUAGUGGCUCUGUGUUGAUCUUGUGGUAAGGUUGUUUAAUUAUUAAACGGUCGACUCUAUAGAAGUAAAACAAAUAUAUCACUGUUUUAGAUUCAUCUAUAACGCUCUGGGUCAUACAAUAGAACGGUCAGUAUGAACAGUCGCAUGCAUAUACAAGGUCAGCUUUAUAACAAAACGGAUCUUGAAUACAAAUGAAUAUCUAGUUGGUCUUCGAACUGCAUAUUGUAAGAAAAGUUCCACAUUAUGAAACAAAAUGAAAUGGUUGGUAUCUUGGUCUACCGGGUACCCACGUUCCGAAUGUAAUAUUAAAUCUUGCAUAUAUUGGUCUUUGUACCUUUAAAGCCAUACCGUCAUUUUAUAGUCAGUUUACUUUCAGUUUAUCGGGAUAUUUAACUUCAAAGUGUAUAUGUUACAGUAAAUAGGUGAAAUUAGGAAUUACAUGUAAUUACUAAAAUUUAGGAAUUACAUGUAAUGCCCGAUGCACUUAGUAAAUACAAGUAAUUCCUGAAACGGCCUAGUUAUUACCAGUAAUAACUAAUUUUUAAAUGAAUUUUUACACCUAUUUACUAACUGUUAAAAUAAUGUUGUAAUGUGGUCAGCUGAUCAAAAGUUAGGGUAAUACUAACAAUAGAAGAUCAUUGAGCAUUCUUAAAAAGUGAUCAGCCUAAAAUGUACCUUUUUGUUAUAGGACUAUUAGCUACAAGAUAUAAAAAAAAAAUUGAUUUUUUUGUUAAAUCAUUAAUGAAAAUGUUAUUGUAAAAUUAUAAUUCACUUUUCAAUCCGGAUCUAUCUUACUGAAAUAAGCUGAGAAACCUGGUUGGUGAGUUGUGCACUUGAAUAUGUUUCCAUGUGACCCUCAAUUCAACUCCUAGCUGUAGAUAGGUUACUGAUGCAUUCAGAUUUAAAAUUGUAAGGGUUUUGCGGAACCAAGUAUAUCAUCUACUUUUGCUGUUAGUCGCAGGCUCAACAAAAAUGGGAAAAAAAUAUUUAAAAUUUUCCUCCAGAUACCAUCUUUUGUCUAGUACUGUAAGAAGCUUCUGUCAAAAUUUGGUUAAAAUCCAGGAUGGUUUUUGAAAUCUGAUAAAUGUUUUAAGAACACUUUAACCGCAGAGUGUAUGUAAUGUUAACUGGAGAAGAAAAAAAAACGAAGUCCAUUUAUAAGGAAUAUACGAAAAAGGAUUUUUUUUCAAACUUUACUUCUGGAUAUUAUCUUAUGAUCAUAAGCAAGUUUCUGUCCAAGUUUUAUAGAAACCCAGGAUAGUUUGAGAAAGUUAUUAAAUUUUAAAAAACUAAGUCUAUUUAUAAGUAAAAUACGAAAAAAAUUUAUUUUAUUUUUACAAAAUUUACUUCUUGAAAAUUAUUUUAUGAUCAUCAACAAGCUUUUGUUCAAGUUUGGUAGACAUCCAGGAUACUUUAAGAAAGUUAUUAAAAUUUAAAAAACUUUAACCACAUAGUGAAUAUUUGUGGACGCUGUUGACGACAAAAUGGUUUGCUAUGUCUCGCUUUUGCAUCAAAAGUCGCAGGCUUGACAAAAGGAAACAGAAUGACAACAUUGAAAGUAAAAUAAAAGAGAUGAACCAUUUAGUUAACUUAUUCAAUCCACAAAAAGAUGAUUCUUAUACAAGUAAAAACGAUGAUAACAAAUUGUUGCAGGUAUUAUACUUUAAUUUGGAGGUCUUGAAAAACUCAUAAAAAAAAGAAACACAUAAAAAUGAAAUGUGACACUUAACACCAUCAAAUUGUAUAAAUUUGUUUGUAAAGAAUGACGCUUCAUCGCAACAGUCUGAAAAAAAGUCGGAAAUAAACCUAUUUUGUAAAAGGAAUUCAACUUAUGUCAUUGGGCAAGUGUAUAUGCAAAGUAUGCUUGAUGGAGAUUUAAAUUCAAAGAAAUUAUGAGAUUUUAAGAAUUAUCAAGAUUAUUCAACCAAAUUUGGCAUUAUCGAAUGUCGAUCAACAAAAAGAGGUGGCGAAGUUGUUUAUAAACUUCUCACAAAUUGUUUUUCAAUUUUGUAUGGAUAUCAUUGUCUUGCAUGCUGAAAAUGAGUUUCAGGGAGUUUCAAAACUUUAAAAACAACCAUUUUCCAGUUUCAGUUCACAAACACUACAGAGUAUACACUUUUAUUGUACCUUAUAUUCCUUUAUCCUUAAUUAAGUAGGCCCUAAAAUACCUACCCUUUUCUUUUUUAUUUUGUAUCUUGAAUUGUAUCUUUAAUUUAAAAAAUUAAAUUAAAUAUCAAGUUAGUAAAUAGCUGUAAAAAUGACAAAAAAAAUCAGUGAAUACCAGUAAUCACUGAAACAACUAGUAAAUACAUGUAAUUACUAAAUUGGCUAGUUAUUACAGGUAUUUACUGAAAUGUUUAGUAAUUACAUGUAAUUCCUAAUUUCACCUAUUUACUGUAACAUAUAUAUGGCCCGUAUGCAUUAUAAAGCUGCUUAAGUUAAGAUUUGUUCUGAACGGACGGAUUUUUCUAAAUGUCCUACCAUAAAUUUAGUACGUAUACUACGAUUGUACUUCUUAAGUUAGUUUUAUGCAUAAAAGUCCUGGAUGCUUGUUCGUUGUCUUCAUCUUCUGUAGUAUAUAAUUUCCAAUGCAUUUUCAGUAUCUAUUCUUCAUAUUUUAACAAAUCAGUAUACAUGUAUAUAAUUUCCAAUGCAUUUUUCAGUCUCUAUUCUUCAUAUUUUAACAAAUCAGUAUAUUCUCUGUUUUUUAUUUUUUUUUACAUGUUUUCCCUAUUCAGUAAACCCCAACCAGGGUCCUAUAGAAGCAAAUAUCAAGAUAUUGAAACACAUUCUAUUACAUGUUAAUGCAUGUUAACUGAUUAUAUACUCAAAUCAGAUCGUAACUUGUUAGUUUUUCUUGGUUCUCAAAUCUUUACAGCCCACACCACACCUCCUUAAUAGCCAUGCUAUGCACAACAAAUCAUUUUUAUAUGAAUUCUGUAAACCGUCGGACAACAGAAAAUCCAAUAUCUUUGUCAAUCAAUGAAUAAUUUUUCACAACCAGAAUAACCUCUCUUUCAACUUUUAAAAUAUUUUGUCCUUAUUUUUUUCGCAAUAUUUAAUAUUCAUAAUUACUCAUUUCAUUGACGUCAUGUAACUACAAUUGAGAACAUACUGACAAAAAUUUAAACGGGAGAGAUUUUGAUCAACCUUGAGAAAAAAUUGAACAAAUGCCUCCACGGUUCACAGAUUUUUCGUUGAUAUUGAUUAAUUUACACGAACUAUUUCAAAUGGUUUAGUAUGACAAUUAUGUAAUAUGUAAUACUUGUCAUUUCUAAGUCACGUUUGGACUGAAAAUGAGUCUAGGAGUGCAUUUCUUUCGAACGCAAACGAUGCAAACGGCUAAGCGCGCACAAGUUUUGAUCAUUUCUUUUAAACAUACGUUUGCAAAGUUUACACAAACUAUGCACACGCUAAAAAUGCGUCUGCAGUUUGUCGUUUGUUAGAACAAACGCUAUACAUGAAUUUGUUUCUAACUUCAACCUGAUUAAACGAUGUAUUUAUUUCUACGUUUGUAAAAAGUCUGUUUACCUACAACAUGUGCAUGCAUUAUUGAAAUUUCAAACAGUGUCAGUAAAGACUUAUUAAACGAUGUAUUUGUUUCUACUUUUCUAGCGUUUAUAAAACAUCAACAAACGCGACACAACGUUUACAAAAUUUUGGUUAGAAAGAAAUGCACUCUUUGGAGUAAAAAAGUCAAACAAUCUAAACAUUUUAGUACAGAGUCGGUUAAGAGGGGGCAGGGUGCACGUUCUUAUCCUUUUUUUGUAGGGUUGAAUGAAGUUGACUAUAUAGGGAAUCACUAAAGCAUGACUGGAGCGGGCCCCUUCUUAAGCAGUCAGUGACCCACCCUUUAUAAAAUUUCUGGAUCCGCCACUGAAGUGAUAAAGCAAACAUAAUUUAUCUAUUAAUUUUUAUUGGAUAAUUAAGAACUUGCUUUAUUAUAGUGCGCAUAUUGACUCAAGCUUUUUGGAGCUAAUUUUCAUAUUUUCAAAUCAUUAACUGUAUUUUCACGGACGUGUACACCAAGAUGAAAAUAACGUUACGUCAUUGGAUGGAUUUCCAUUGUUUAGAACGUUUUAAAGUAAUCAUAACGUUUUGGUGUACGUUUUUGAAAAUAAUACCCAGAAUGCAUUAGAUUCUGAAAAUGAUAAUUGGAUUCAAGACUAACAUGAUUAUUAUUAAGUUCCAAAAAAACAUUAAGAAACAUGUCUUUCUAACCGGAUAUAUAUAUCUUGUAUUUAAUUCGAUUUAUGUUAAUAUUUAUUUAUUAGAUAAACUUAAUUUAUUUAAUGUUUUUUUCUAGUAAGGUUUAAUAUUUUAACUAUUUAUGGAUAUUAACAAAAAAUGAUGUUUUUCUACCUACAUCCGAGUUUAGUCAGAAUUGUGUGCAGAGAUAGACAAGUUUUCAAUUUAUUCUAACAUAGAUCAGGCAAUAUAUUUGUAACAUUGAAUUCUAGGAAUUAGCAAUGUUUGUCUGUGUGUGGUAUCGUAUACCUUAUACGUAAACUGCCUACGUAACUGUAUAAACCUAAUUAGAAAAGUAUGGUCCUUUUGGUUUUCUUCUGUUUUACUGAGUGGGAUGUAUAAAUACAAAUCCACGUCAGGUCACAAGGGGACGUUAAAUCCAAUGCCUCGUGUGCUAUAUACCUCUAUUUGGUAUCUCUGGUUACGGAAAAGUAGGACAUAAUUUAGCCUGUUUAUGCUAUAUUACGGGACUGGAUACUUUUUUAUGUUUGUCGGCGGCGAACAGUUAGCUUCGUCUGUCAUACAUGUGCUUGUUGAAUGGCUGUAGAAUAAAAUUUAGAUCGAAAAGCGUGACUUCAACCCCAUAGUCCCCCAAGACAACAAGAAGGAUUGAGGCCCAUGACACGUGUAGCGAUAGUAAGACGCUAUCUGUAUAUUAGGAACCCAUACACCAACACUUUGGAGGUCGAUAGGUGGCCGGUUGAAGGGCUAAAUGUCUGUCCCUAUCCAAUAUAUUAAAUAUUCCAGUGACAUUUCAAAUGUUCCUCAUGUCAUUGCAGUCGAACCAAUGUUGUAGAAUAUACUCCUUUUGUAAUUAUUGGUCUCUUCCUGAACUUGCAUGGAUCUUUGUCACUGGAAGUUGAUAUUUAUUACUUUAAGAUAAAUCAAUCUUCUAACGAGCUAUAUUGGAAUAUAUUCCAACUUGGAACAGAAAUUUUGCAUUUCCAUGUGGAGCAGGAUCUGCUCACACUUCCGAAGCACCACGUAUCAUCUCCGGUUUUAUUGUGGGUUCGUGUUAUUCGGUCUUCGGUUUUAAAUUAUAUGUUUUGUUUAGUGUUAUUUGUCUUUCUGUAGUUUUUUCGUAUUUUUUGCCAUGACAUUGUCAGUUUGUUUUCCUUAGAGUAUUAAAUGGUCGCCCACAUGGACAUUACCCUGCUUGUAAAACAACUUCUAGGGAAAUCAAAUCGGGAAAUUAUUCCCAUUGAAACGUUACAACAGGGGCGGCCAGCCAUUUGAAAAAAAGGGUGGGGGGGUCCCAACCCAGGAUAAAGUGGGGGUUCCAACAACAUGCUCCCAUUCAAAUGCAUUGAUCGUCCAAAACAAAAGGGGGAUCCAACCCGCGGAUCCCCCCUGGAUCCGCUACUGGUUACAAUGUCUAUGCCAAAUAUUUAUAACAACACAAUUACCUAACUCUUAUGUAAAUUCAAAGCGAGAAGCACCAAAACCCUACUCGACUAUAUCAACCAGCGAAACAACUGAAAAGUACUGUCGCGUAUGUAAUUUCAAGAAUGUACACACAUCAAAAACACUUUUGAGGUAACAUUUUAUAAAAAGGUUAUUGAUUCUAUAAUACGCCUGUCUGUUUCUUAAUUCUGACGUCACAAUAAUACACAUGUGUACUGUUACAUCAUUAAAUGAUUUAAAUUGAACAGAAAUUUGAAUAAAACAGGUGUUGAAAUAAACAAUUGGUGUCAAUUACUCAUGUAAUUGUCAGAUUGCAUGAAAACAUGCAAUGGUUUUAAAAUCAAAGGGUUAUUAAUCAUUACUAACAUCUAACACAUAACAUGCACACUGCACACAAGCAUGGUACAUUUUAGAUGUUCAAAAAAAGAGCAAUGGCGAACAACAGCUGAAGAUCUCGCGUGAUUAGGCCAACUAAAAUUAAUUAGUAGAUUUUCAUCCCAAUUUUUGAAAAAAAUGGGGCGGGUGGGAGGAUUUUAUUUUUUAAAUUUUAUUUCAUAUGAAACCCUCGUCACGAGUUCUUCAUACCGCGGAGUAUAUGCUAGUGGAAAAUAAGCUUGUAUAAUGUAUAUACAUGCUGUAUAAGGAAUCCUACACUAUUUUUUAAACUCUUAAAUAAAAAUCCCUGAUUGGCAACCACUGUUAUACAUGUAAUUGCCGCUUUAGAAACCUAUUUAUAGUAUACAUCAAAAAGAAGAGAAAUGCUCUCUUCAGUUGGACUAUACCUACAGCAAAUUUAUUUUGCUUUCUAAGCAAUGGUUUGUAGUCCCUAUAAAAUCAAUCAAAUGUAUUGGUACAAUUGUAUGCCAGGCGCGGAUCCAGAGGGGGGGGUUCCGGGGGUUGGAACCCCCCUUUUUUUUGGACGAUCAAUGCAUUUGAAUUGGGACAUGUAAUUGGAACACCCCCUUUGUCCUGGGUUAGGAACCCCCCCUUUUUAAAAGGGCUAGAUCCGCUCAUGUAUGCAACACAAGUAUUACAAUGUAUGAGUACAGAAAAAAAUGUAAACUCAGUGUUGAAAGUAAUUAUGAUGUAAAACAUGAACUUUACUAAAAAGUAGUUGUUGUUUAAUGACUAAAUUGAGGGUAUUGGGACAGUUACAGAGGGUGUUUGCUGUUUGUCACCAAAAACAACAGCCAUGGGUAAAUAUAAGGGCUUAAUUUUGUUAUAAUUAAAAUGCGUGUUUGUCGACUUUUUUCUCAAUAUACGGUCAUAAAUCAAACAAGUUCGAGCUUGUGUCAAUUUCUUUAAUCCAGUCAUGUUUUUUGUACCAAUUUGUUCUACAAUUCUUGCGCUUUGGAUAUCAUUCACAGUCCAAAUUUCCUGACACAAAGUCAUUGUAUUUAUAUAUAUAAACAAAGUAAAAAACACGGUUUACGGUGACUACCGCAAUUCGCGUUCAAGGACAAGGCUCUUUACUCGUAACUGGAAUAUGUCAUGCCCUUCUCGUUAUCAAUCUCUAUUCUCGGUAGAUGAUGUUGUCAUCAUAGAGCAGCAGAAUAUGUCGACUUAAUCAUUUUCGUUAUAUUACUCGAAGAAAUACAAAAACAAAAUUUGAAACAGGAAGUUUUGAAUGAAACGAAAUUAUCGAUGGUUCCUGGUAACGGACAUGAACAAAAUCCGAAAAUCGUAUUUUUGUUAAAUAAAAAAAAUCGGGGCGGGACGAUUUCAGAGGGGCGGGCGGGGAUGAAAAUCAAGCAAUUAAUUUUAAUUGGCCUUAUAUAAACUGUCACGCGACUGUAGUAGAUAGCAGAAUGAGCUAGAUACCUCAAUUUUAGAUAAUUCAUCGAUCUUGAAUAAAACAAGAUAUCAGUAAGGGAGCUACCAUUUAAUUUUUAUGGGGGGGGGGGGGGCUAGGAUGAAAUUUGAAAAAAAAUAGGCAGGACAGAAGUUUUGAGUAAAAAAAAGGCAGGAUGAGACACUUGCAAAAAAAAAAAAAGUCAGGACGACAAUUUAGGUAAAAAAAGUCAGGAUAAACUAAAAAAAAAAAGGCAGGACCGAACAGAGUGAAAAAUAAAAAGGCAGGACAGAGAUUACAGCUAAAAAAAAUUGCAGGACAAAAUUUUUCCUCCUAGCCCCCCCCCCCC
rnacentral:lncRNA from 1 species